CCCUUGUGAUGAAUUGUCAUGCUAAUACAAAGCAGUGGUUCUGGAGUUUUAAAACUAUAUUGGGUAUUCUGAUGAACUCUUUGUAGAUCUGCCUGAAGGGU